rnacentral:lncRNA from 1 species
CUUAACCUUCUGGGAAGGCAGCUCAGCGGGUGUUAGCCUCAUUUACUCAGCCCCCUAUUCAAGAUGGAGUCACUCUGGUUCCAAUGCCUCUGACAAUGGUAGAGAUAACACAGUAUUCUUGCAACAGAACAGAGCUCCUGUCCACCUGUGUGUGUCCUUUGAAUGGAUGGCAGCUGCAUCGCUACAUUAAAGCUCGUUAGAAUGAUGAGUCCUUGCUAUGCCCCAAGCACUGUUUUGGGUGUUUGAUAUCUAUUAUCUCACUUCAUCCUCAUCAUGACCCCAUGUGAGGAGCAUCAACGGAAAGAGACAAUGGUGCAUACUGAACCAGAAUACCUAGAGGGAGAACCAUAUGCCCUGACUCUGAGACUAACUUGUGGAUGGCAACAUGCACAUGGUUGGCAGAGGAGGGAAGACAGAACUAUCAUCUUGAAAUGUCUAGUCCAUGGUUCCUGCGGGCAUUCACCUGUGCAAGCUCCCAGCUUGCAGGCUGCUUUUUGUUAGAAAAUACUGUGGGACUGCUUUUCAUUAAGAAGAAAAGCCUUGCCAAGGACUCCCAUACUCUUGCUAUCUGCCUAAGUGAUUUCUUCUUAACUCUUGUAGCAUACUUCUCAGAGAGACAACAGAAGACAGACAGCCCAGAUUGA